rnacentral:rRNA from 1 species
GACGAACGCUGGCGGCGUGCCUAAUACAUGCCAGUCGAGCGAACGGACGAGAAGUUUGCUUCUCUCAUGUUAGCGGCGGAGGGGGGAGAAACACGUGGAUACCCUACUUAUAAGACUGGGAUAACUUCGGGAAACCGUAGCUAAUACCGGAUAAUAUUUUGAUCCGUAGGGGGCAAAAGUGAAAGACGGUCUUGCUGUCACUUAUCGAUGGAUCCGCGCUGCAUUAGCUAGUUGGUAGGGUAACGGCUUACCAAGGGAACGAUGCCUAGCCGACGUGAGAGGGGGAUAGGCCACAUGGGAAGGGAGACGCGCACCUGGCGCCUACGGGAGGCAGCAGUAGGGAAUGUUCCGCAAUGGGCGAAAGCAUGACGGAGCAACGCCGAGUGAGUGAUGAAGGUGUUCGGAUCGUAAAACUCUGUUAUUAGGGAAGAACAUAUGUGUAAGUAACUGUGCACAUCUUGACGGUACCUGAUCAGAAAGCCACGGCUAACUACGUG